rnacentral:rRNA from 1 species
CGAGUCCGAGGAGCUACGGCUCUUAAGUGAUACAAGUCAGACUUCCCAGAAAAGCCCGAACCACGUUAAUUUCUAAUUACCUGUACCCGAAACCGACACAGGUGGGUAGGUAGAGUAUACUAAGGGGCGCGAGAUAACUCUCUCUAAGGAACUCGGCAAAAUGACUCCGUAACUUCGGGAGAAGGAGUGCCUUAUUUAUAAGGUUGCAAUAACAAGAUCCAAGCAACUGUUUAUCAAAAACACAGGUCUCCGCUAAGUCGUAAGACGAUGUAUGGGGGCUGACGCCUGCCCAGUGCCAGAAGGUUAAAGAAGUUGGUUAGUGUAUGCGAAGCUGAUGACUGAAGCCCUGGUGAACGGCGGCCGUAACGAUAACGGUCCUAAGGUAGCGAAAUUCCUUGUCGGGUAAGUUCCGACCCGCACGAAAGGCGUAAUGAUUUGGAUACUGUCUCGGAGAGAGGCUCGGUGAAAUAGACUUGUCUGUGAAGAUGCGGACUACCUGCACCAGGACAGAAAGACCCUAUGAAGCUUUACUGUAACUUGAAAUUGGAAUUGGACUUUGCUUGCGCAGUAUAGGUGGGAAGCGUUGAAAAUAUUCUUGCGGGAGUAUUGGAGCUAUCAGUGAGAUACCACUCUUGUAAUGUUAGAUUUCUAACUUUGAACCAUAAUCUGGUCAAAGAACAGUUUCAGGUGGGCAGUUUGACUGGGGCGGUCGCCUCCCAAAUGGUAACGGAGGCGUACAAAGGUUUCCUCUGAACGGAUAGAAAUCGUAUCUAGAGUGUAAAGGCAUAAGGAAGCUUGACUGUGAGACCUACAAGUCGAGCAGGGACGAAAGUCGGUCUUAGUGAUCUGACGGUACUGAGUGGAAAGGCCGUCACUCAACGGAUAAAAGUUACUCUAGGGAUAACAGGCUGAUCUCCCCCAAGAGUUCACAUCGACGGGGAGGUUUGGCACCUCGAUGUCGGCUCAUCGCAUCCUGGGGCGGUAGUACGUCCCAAGGGUUGGGCUGUUCGCCCAUGAAAGCGGUACGCGAGCUGGGUUCAGAACGUCGUGAGACAGUUCGGUCCAUAUCCGGUGUAGGCGCUAGAAUAUUGAGAGGAGCCUUCUUUAGUACGAGAGGACCGAGAAGGACACACCGCUGGUGUACCAGUUAUCGUGCCAACGGUAAACGCUGGGUAGCUAUGUGUGGAGUGGAUAACCGCUGAAAGCAUCUAAGUGGGAAGCCCACCUCGAGAUGAGUAUUCAC